ensembl:snRNA U6 U6 spliceosomal RNA
AUAUUUAUUUCAGCAACAUGUAUACUAAAAUUGAAAACAGAGAAGAUUAGCAUGGCCCCUGUGCAAAGAUAUCUCCCAAAUUCAUAGAGUUCCACACUGAUUUU